UGGGGAAUAUUGCACAAUGGAGGGAACUCUGAUGCAGCGACGCCGCGUGAACGAAGAAGGCUUUCGAGUCGUAAAGUCCUUUUAUAUGGGAAGAUAAUGACGGUACCAUAAGAAAAAGCCCCGGCUAACUACGUGCCAGCAGCCGCGGUAAUACGUAGGGGGCUAGCGUUGUCCGGAAUCACUGGGCGUAAAGGGUUCGCAGGCGGAAAUGCAAGUCAGGUGUAAAAGGCAGUAGCUUAACUACUGUAAGCAUUUGAAACUGCAUAUCUUGAGAAGAGUAGAGGUAAGUGGAAUUUUUAGUGUAGCGGUAAAAUGCGUAGAUAUUAAAAAGAAUACCGGUGGCGAAGGCGACUUACUGGGCUCAUUCUGACGCUGAGGAACGAAAGCGUGGGUAGCAAACAGG
rnacentral:rRNA from 1 species